rnacentral:pre_miRNA from 1 species
UUGGGUUCCUGGCAUGCUGAUUUGUGACUUAAGAUUAAAAUCACAUUGCCAGGGAUUACC